rnacentral:rRNA from 1 species
GAUGAACGCUAGCGGGAGGCCUAACACAUGCAAGCCGAGCGGUAUUUGUCUUUCGGGACAGAGAGAGCGGCGUACGGGUGCGGAACACGUGUGCAACCUGCCUUUAUCUGGGGGAUAGCCUUUCGAAAGGAAGAUUAAUACCCCAUAAUAUAUUGAUUCGCAUGGAUUGAUAUUGAAAACUCCGGUGGAUAGAGAUGGGCACGCGCAAGAUUAGAUAGUUGGUGAGGUAACGGCUCACCAAGUCAGAGAUCUUUAGGGGGCCUGAGAGGGUGAUCCCCCACACUGGUACUGAGACACGGACCAGACUCCUACGGGAGGCAGCAGUGAGGAAUAUUGGACAAUGGGUGAAAGCCUGAUCCAGCCAUCCCGCGUGAAGGACGACGGUUCUAUGGAUUGUAAACUUCUUUUAUAUAGGGAUAGACCUACUUACGUGUAAGUAGCUGAAGGUACUAUAUGAAUAAGCACCGGCUAACUCCGUGCCAGCAGCCGCGGUAA